rnacentral:rRNA from 1 species
CAGCAGCCGCGGUAAUACAGAGGGUGCGAGCGUUAAUCGGAUUUACUGGGCGUAAAGCGUGCGUAGGCGGCUUCUUAAGUCGGAUGUGAAAUCCCUGAGCUUAACUUAGGAAUUGCAUUCGAUACUGGGAAGCUAGAGUAUGGGAGAGGAUGGUAGAAUUCCAGGUGUAGCGGUGAAAUGCGUAGAGAUCUGGAGGAAUACCGAUGGCGAAGGCAGCCAUCUGGCCUAAUACUGACGCUGAGGUACGAAAGCAUGGGGAGCAAACAGGAUUAGAUACCCCCGUAGUCCCUGUCUCUAUACA